rnacentral:rRNA from 1 species
UGGCUCAGAACGUACGCUGGCGGCACGCUUAACACAUGCAAGUCGAACGAAGUAGCAAUACUUAGUGGCAGACGGGUGAGUAACAUGUGGGUAUCUGCCCUUUGGCCUGGAAUAACACGAGGAAACUUGUGCUAAUACCGGAUAAGUCUUUACGGAGAAAGCUUUAUGCACCAUUGGAUGAGCCCGCACUUGAUUAGUUUGUUGGUGGGGUAACGGCCUACCAAGACUGUGAUCAAUAGCUGAUUUGAGAGGAUGAUCAGCCACAUUGGGACUGAGACACGGCCCAAACUCCUACGGGAGGCAGCAGUGGGGAAUCUUGCACAAUGGAGGAAACUCUGAUGCAGCGAUGCCGCGUGAGUGAAGAAGGCCCUUGGGUUGUAAAGCUCUUUCGUCGGGGAAGAAAAUGACUGUACCCGAAUAAGAAGGUCCGGCUAACUUCGUGCCAGCAGCCGCGGUAAUACGAAGGGACCUAGCGUAGUUCGGAAUUACUGGGCUUAAAGAGUUCGUAGGUGGUUGAAAAAGUUAGUGGUGAAAUCCCAGAGCUUAACUCUGGAACUGCCAUUAAAACUUUUCAGCUAGAGUAUGAUAGAGGAAAGCAGAAUUUCUAGUGUAGAGGUGAAAUUCGUAGAUAUUAGAAAGAAUACCAAUUGCGAAGGCAGCUUUCUGGAUCAUUACUGACACUGAGGAACGAAAGCAUGGGUAGCGAAGAGGAUUAGAUACCCUCGUAGUCCAUGCCGUAAACGAUGUGUGUUAGACGUUGGAAAUUUAUUUUCAGUGUCGCAGCGAAAGCGAUAAACACACCGCCUGGGGAGUACGACCGCAAGGUUAAAACUCAAAUGAAUUGACGGGGACCCGCACAAGUAGUGGAGCAUGUGGUUUAAUUCGAAGAUACGCGCAGAACCUUACCAACACUUGACAUGUUCGUCGCGACUCUAAGAGAUUAGAGUUUUCGGUUCGGCCGGACGAAACACAGGUGCUGCAUGGCUGUCGUCAGCUCGUGUCGUGAGAUGUUGGGUUAAGUCCCGCAACGAGCGCAACCCUCACUUUUAGUUGCCAUCAUUUAGUUGGGCACUCUGAAAGAACUGCCAGUGAUAAGCUGGAGGAAGGUGGGGAUGACGUCAAGUCCUCAUGGCCCUUACGUGUUGGGCUACACACGUGCUACAAUGGUAUCUACAACAGGAAGCAAGACUGCGAGGUCAAGCAAAUCCUUAAAAGAUACCUCAGUUCGGAUUGCACUCUGCAACUCGAGUGCAUGAAGCUGGAAUUACUAGUAAUCGUGGAUCAGCGUGCCACGGUGAAUGCGUUCCCGGGUCUUGUACACACCGCCCGUCACACCAUGGGAGUUGGUUCUACCUUAAGGCAAGG